rnacentral:sRNA from 2 species
GAAAGAUAUCCAUGUUGUGGCGCUGAAUUCUUUCCACAAGUCGGGUACCUAAUUGCACUAGUCCGAUUUCUCAACCUUCGCAUUUCGUGCCUCCUUAGCAAUUGGACCUUUCAAGCGGCAGUAUUCGUGCCCAGGUAAUUCUUGAAGAACUCGUGAACGUCCCUUCGUCAAAAAUCACUGUCAUCAUCUUGUAAUCAUUUGGGAGCUUCGACAGCCCCCUACAGAGCCUACGCCCCCUUUGUAGACCACCGAAAGGGAAAUCGCGCCAAACCUAAAUGGUUAGCGCUAGACCGGAUGCCGAACGGCGUUAGACCGGAUGGGUUCGAUAUACUGUACCUAGGCACUGAGGCGCCAAGGUGGGUGGGUGGUUUGAUCUCAGAGCUAACACGAUAUAUCCAGGUAGCAGUUAAUUUAACCUGGGAAUUGGGUGUUCAAUCAUGAGAGUAGCUGGAAUUCUAUGGACGCGCCCCGAUUCAGGCUUGGAGUUUUCUCAGGACUCCCCAUUGUGCCGCCUCUGGUUUCUCGUUAAUGGUACACUAAGGCUUGACAUGGUUCUAACCAAAAUACCCCGUGGUGAAUGCGGAUAGAUGAUUCAUAUGUCACUCAUCUACGGCCUUUCUCCUUGUGCCCUCUACGUUCCCGCAUAUAAAGAUUUUUUUAAACUAACGACAGAAAAGUAGAAGUGUGAUAUAUUUCUCAUACAUCAUAUAAUUUUUUGAUUUUCCAGGCUUCAAGAUCUCAUUGAAACGCGAAUCAGCCAGAUAUUUUGGACUAAAAAUUUUAGUAUAACUAACACUAAACUAAAA